UCAUCAUUUUUAAAUUUAAAUAAUUUUAAAUUGAAAGGUGUACAUUUUUAACUUCUUGAACCUUUAAAAUAUUGAAAAGCUGCCAGGAAUUCUACCAGCCUCCGCCAAUUAACCCUAUAGAGGGCGCCACAUUUGGUAACCCCAACCUAUCGCCUUCGUUUCCGCAAUCUUUCCGUGUCCCUCUUGUCUGAUCUGAGUACUUUCUUCGAUCGGUCGUGUUUCCACUCAGAUAACACUCGAAAUGGUUACUCAAGUCCAGCUUCCAGCAGAAAAGUCGAACGAAGCCAGCGAAAGGGAAAAA